rnacentral:lncRNA from 1 species
CGAGUGGAGGAAUCCUAGGGUGUGCCUGGAGGUGGCGGAGUGUACCGACGCGGGUGUGAGCGCGUGUGCCAGCGAGGGUGGGCACGGGGGUGAGCGUGGCAAGGGCAGCAGCACCUGCUUGAAACCAAGCCCGGCGACCUGGCAAGGUGGGGCCCCCUACCGCGCAAGCUUUGCGACUAGCCCCCGGCUCUCAGCUCCGAGUGCAGAGGCUGAAGAGGUACCCGGGGGACACACUGCCUCUAACCCCACGUAUGAGCCGCUCUCCUCUCGGAGGGCGAAGGCACCAUCGGAAGGUGGAGAUUCGCCCUUCUCUCCCGCCACGUCUACCCACUACCCAGACCGGGAGUCUGGACUUGGGAGCGUGAACUCUCACCCGAGCCGGUCCCCUUACAACUGGAGCCCGCCCAGCCCCUCAGUCCGUCCCUGAAGCCCAUGGGUCCCCACUGCUCCGUGCCUCGUCGACCCAGGAUGGGAGUGGGAAGGUCAGCAUGUGCCCACAGGGCCAGGUGUCCGGCCCAGAUUCCCACCCUCAGGGCGGCGGCGCGCAAAGGGCGCAGUCCCCGCCGCGGGGCGGACCCGCGGCUCCGGCUUUCCCGGUGUCUCCAGCCUCGGUGCCCGGAAUCCUGGAUCUCGGCCUGGCGCUCCGGAAGCGAGGCAGCUCCGGGCCCCAGCAGGGACGGGGAACGCUUGGCUUGAGAGAUUACAUUU